AUGAAGCGUCGCCCGGCACGAGGGCCGUGCGAUCCGUCGAGUUAUCAUGAAUCAUCGCAGCAACGGGCAGAGCCCGUGUCGACCUUUUAUCUAAUAAAUGCAUCCCUUCCAGAAGUCGGGGUUUGUUGCACGUAUUAGCUCUAGAAUUACUAUGGUUAUCC